AAAAAAGUCUUCUGGGUUACCCUGACAUAUCAUUUCAUCCUCAAUUUAUUCUCUCUGUAGAUUUACUUUUCUAAUAAAAACAAAACAAAGUAUGAUUCCUGGCAUAUGGGAAUUUCAAAGGAUAGCAACUAUGUGGAAAAGGUCUAUCCCACUAAAACAGCAUAAAUGAUGUAUAAACUCAAGAAGCCGAUGACUGCAUAUGAAACAACCAAAUCAAGAAGUAAAAUAUGGUCUAUGGAGCACAGUACUAACCCGGCAAAACAAGCUUUACUUCUGGCUCAAUUACACACCUGCUGUAUUUUAAUUUUUAACUCAAUAUUGAGCUUAAAUAAAACAUGCCACUUAACCACAAUUUCAAAAGGAAAACAAAGUCACAAAAGAAUGCAAUAAAUUAUACAAUUGGAUUAACACAUUAGAUAAUUAAAGGUGAUUCUAUUCUCAAGUCUAUCAAUCAACGCUACUGCAUUUACUCAUUCCAAUUUUAUUCAGGAAGAGGGGCAGCAGGAACAUAUUGCAGGGUUCCAAAAGGAGACGUAGAAAGCGUGCCUACGAAGAGGACUGCAGUGAGGAGCUACAGAUUGAGAUUACAUACAGUGGACUGGACAACUUUGGUUAGGAUCAGGCUGUUUAAUUUCUUCAUAAACUUAACAUAGCUUUCUUCCUAAAAAGAUGUUAAUCCAGACUUUUUUUUCUCCAAAACAACCCAAACUGAUACAGCCACUGCUGCACUGAACUGUAUUAAGGCACUAGAAUAUUUAAGGAAAAGCAAAAGACUCCCGCAAUUCAACGGGAAGCUUUUUAGUGAAGAAAACUUAAGGACCGAAUAAAUUUAAAUAUAUGCCCUGUUUAACCUCCUUUCCCACCUAUGCGGACUUGGAGUUUUAACUUUCCUAGUUGACUGAAACUCAAAGUAUGAAGACUACGUAUGCGAGAAUGUUUACUUAACGCUGAACUCGGGGCUACAGGAAGUCUCCUACUAAACAGUAGUUACAUUAGGCGUAGAUAUUUAUAAACCAUCUGCAGCAAGUGACCCAGGAUUCAAUUACAACAUCAACCCUCAUAUUUCAUCGUAUGGGCAAAUUACCAGUCAAGAAUAAAUUCAUUCUGCCCUACUGGCGCUCUAGAUCGAGUUGCACAAUCCCGGGGCAGAACCGCCUUCGCCUAGCCCUAGAGCAUCAGGUACUAAGUUAGUGUGAGGACAUUUUAAAGCGGGAGGGAAACUCUAAGGACUCAGCCCAUACUCCUAAAUUCAGAAAUUUGUCACGUCACUUGAGAUCAGAGUGAAAUUUAAGUUUCAGUCCCUUUGAGAUCUCUGAGCGCACAGUCAGGUUGCCAUCACUCCAAGGGGCUGGGGAGUCCGAACCCGGAUGGAUAAAAACUACUUGGUGCGGAACUCGCAUCUUUUCCGCCCCCUGAGGGGGGCCCGCACCGGUCGGGUCCGGCCAGGAGCCCGGGCGCGAGUUUGGGGGCGCAGCGGGGGCGGCGAGCGCGCGUCCCCCCGCCCGCUCAGGCGGCGUAGAGGUGCGAGCAGCUCAGCCAGCCUUGCAGAGGGAGCUCUCGGCAGCUCUGGGGUCCCUCUGCUCGCAGCCGCUGCAGCGCCGCCUGCGCCACUCGGCGGAGACGGAGACCAGCGGCAGCGACGCGCGGACUGGGAGCGACCGCCGAGCAGCCAAGCAGCUGGGGAGGCACGCAGGGCGGCAGGGAGUUCAGGCCAGGCCAGUUUUCUAGUAUCAUAUUCUGGAUUUACCUGAUUGCUUCUUCAAGAUUGGAUCCAUGGAACCCCGCCUAUAGACCAUCUUCUCCAGGAAACCUAGCAGUGCUGCAGGAGGAAGGAUCUCUUCACUUCUGGUCUCAAGGCACUUCAGGCUGGAACCACCAUGAAGGCCGAAAUUCUAUCCAGUUACCCUGGAAGUGGGAAACCAACAACCUGCAUGGCAUUUUCUGAAGCUAGACAUGUAAACAUCAUUUAAAAGUUGUUUUCUUGACUAACGCCUGUAAUCCCAGCACUUUGGGAGGCCAAGGUGGGCAGA